rnacentral:rRNA from 1 species
GAUGAACGCUGGCGGCGUGCCUAAUACAUGCAAGUCGAACGGACGGACGAGACGCUUGCUGCUCUCAUGUUAGCGGCGGGCGGGUGAGUCACGCGUGGAUAACCUACCUGUAAGACUGAGAUAACUUCGAGAAAGCGGAGCUAAUACCAGAUGAUAUUUUGAACCGCGGGGUUCAAAAGUGAGUGACGGUCUUGCUGUCACUUAUAGAUGGAUCCCGGCUGCAUGAGCUAGUUGGUAGGGUAACGGCCUACGAAGGCGACGAUGCGUAGCCGAGCUGAGAGGCUGAUCGGCGACAUGGGAACUGAGACACGGUCCAGACGCCUACGGGAGGCAGCAGUAGGGAAUGUUCGGCAACGGGGGAAAGCCUGACGGAGCAACGCCGCGUGAGUGACGAAGGUCUUCGGAUCGUAAAGCUCGGUUACGAGGGAAGAACAGCUGUCGAAUGAAACGUGGCGAGCGUGACGGUACCGAAUCAGGAAGCACCGGCUAACUACGUG